AGUCGAGCGAACGGACGAGAAGCUUGCUUCUCUGAUGUUAGCGGCGGACGGGUGAGUAACACGUGGAUAACCUACCUAUAAGACUGGGAUAACUUCGGGAAACCGGAGCUAAUACCGGAUAAUAUUUUGAACCGCAUGGUUCAAAAGUAAAAGACGGUCUUGCUGUCACUUAUAGAUGGAUCCGCGCUGCAUUAGCUAGUCGGUAAGGUAACGGCUUACCAAGGCAACGAUGCAUAGCCGACCUGAGAGGGUGAUCGGCCACACUGGAACUGAGACACGGUCCAGACUCCUACGGGAGGCAGCAGUAGGGAAUCUUCCGCAAUGGGCGAAAGCCUGACGGAGCAACGCCGCGUGAGUGAUGAAGGUCUUCGGAUCGUAAAACUCUGUUAUUAGGGAAGAACAUAUGUGUAAGUAACUGUGCACAUCUUGACGGUACCUAAUCAGAAAGCCACGGCUAACUACGUGCCAGCAGCCGCGGUAAUACGUAGGUGGCAAGCGUUAUCCGGAAUUAUUGGGCGUAAAGCGCGCGUAGGCGGUUUUUUAAGUCUGAUGUGAAAGCCCACGGCUCAACCGUGGAGGGUCAUUGGAAACUGGAAAACUUGAGUGCAGAAGAGGAAAGUGGAAUUCCAUGUGUAGCGGUGAAAUGCGCAGAGAUAUGGAGGAACACCAGUGGCGAAGGCGACUUUCUGGUCU
rnacentral:rRNA from 1 species